rnacentral:lncRNA from 1 species
UCAAAAUAAAAGAUAAAACAUAUUUAAGAUAUGGAAAAUGGCAUACCUUCAGCAUUAUAGUCCUUUUGUCUCAUAUUCGCUGCUACAAUAUACAUGGCAAAAUUAUCACUCAAAAUUUAGAAUAUCUUUACAGCUCUAUUUUUAUAAUUUUGAAUUUUCUUAGCCGAAUCCCAACGCUCGUAUCCAUACUUGGAUCCGCACCCCCGAAACUUAAAAUUAAGAUUUUGUUGAAUCCGACUCUCGGAUCCGUACCCGAAUUGUAUACCUGCACCCAAGUCCGAGCAACUGAGCUCUGUAGAUAUUGAGAGAUCAUUGACAAUCCAAAUUAGUAUCUCCUAACAGACAUUAGCAUAUCAUGUGCCAUUGGACACAAUGCCAAUGCCUUUGUGUAAGCAUAAUCAAUAAAUACUCCCCUAAGCAAACACUGAACCAUAUAAAACUUCAAACUCAAUAACUAUGCCAUUGUGUAAUUAUCCAAAUCUUUGAAGAGGCGUUCCUAGAAUUUGAAUUCAACAGCAGAUGAGACAUUUCAAUUAUCCGCGUGAUGGCGCUUUGAACCAUCAAAGAAAGCAACAAAUAUUGAAGGAUAGUUUCUUUAGUGACAAGUUGGACUAGGAAUGAUCAAUCCACAUACAACAGAUAUGUACAAAAGUACAUGUCAGAGUGUCAUGAUACAUAUCAAGAUUUGUUUCAUCGGAAGGAAGUAAGUCGAAGCAACCUAAGUUCUAGCAGCAGAAUUGUAUCGUAAAGUUACUCUCGACAUAACUUCUUACCUGACAAAACCAGGACCUGAGCAACAAAAUUGUCCGAAAGCACUGCUCAGGAUCUUCUCACUUAGUUGAACAGAGACAAAAGCUUAGACCCCUACAAGUCGUUCAUCCGAUAACUGCAAUAGCAUGCAUUGCAUCAGUUAGAGAGUGCAUGGAAAUAAACAACAAACAUGAAGAGCCUCAACAUAUAGAAAUGCAGCCCCCCCCCCCCACACACCCCCACAAACCCCAAAAAAAAAGAAAGGAUGACAAAAGGUUCAAAUUUACCCAUCUACUAAAGAAAAUAACUUAAAUUUACCCUCUGUUAUAGUUUGGGGCCAUUCAUACCCUUAUCGUAAGCUAAUCGUUUCGUACUUGUCCUUGACAUUAACGGAGCUCCAACGUAGAUUGAGUGGAUUCCAAGUAUAAAAAAACUUCGGGACAAAGGUCCAGAUUUACCCUUCUAGUUUUGAAUAUGGUUUAAGAAUAUCCUCCGUUAUACUUUAGGCUGGAGCUCCAUUACGGUCAAGGGCAAAUACGAGACGCUUUGCUAGCAAGAGUAUGAAUGGCCCAGAAAUAUAGGGGGGUAAAACUAAGAUUUUCUCCAUUAGAGAAGUAUUUUUGACCUUUUUCCUUAAAACGAUUACAAAAAAAUUUAAAGGGGGAAAGAAAGAGUGGAAAACACUCACAAUAUUAUCUGCAGUUCCUCGGUCCUUCCAAUGUUGUACAUGAUGAGAUUACAACAAGGCUGUAAACAAUUGAUAAUAUUAUGCGACGUGUGCUCAACCUAACUUUGUCAACA